UACGUAGGGUCCGAGCGUUGUCCGGAUUUAUUGGGCGUAAAGAGCUCGUAGGCGGUUCCGUAAGUCAGAUGUGAAAACUCAGGGCUCAACCCGGAGACGCCAUCUGAUACUGCGGUGACUGGAGUCUGGUAGGGGAACACGGAAUUCCUGGUGUAGCGGUGAAAUGCGUUGAUAUUGGGAAGAACACCUGAGGCGAAGGCGGGUUGCUGGGCCGACACUGACGCUGAGGCGCGAAAGCCAGGGGAGCGAACGGG
rnacentral:rRNA from 1 species